GACGAACGCUGGCGGCGUGCUUAACACAUGCAAGUCGAACGGAAAGGCCCUGCUUUUGUGGGGUGCUCGAGUGGCGAACGGGUGAGUAACACGUGAGUAACCUGCCCUUGACUUUGGGAUAACUUCAGGAAACUGGGGCUAAUACCGGAUAGGAGCUCCUGCUGCAUGGUGGGGGUUGGAAAGUUUCGGCGGUUGGGGAUGGACUCGCGGCUUAUCAGCUUGUCGGUGGGUAGUGGCUUACCAAGGCUUUGACGGGUAGCCGGCCUGAGAGUGUGACCGGCCACAUUGGGAAUGAGAAACGGACCAGACUCCUACGGGAGGCAGUAGUGGGGAAUAUGGCAGAAUGGGCGGAAGCCUGAGGCAGCAACGCCGAGUGAGGGAAGACGGCCUUCGGGUUGUAAACCGCUUUCGCCUGUGACGAAGCGUGAGUUACGGUAAUGGGUAAAGAAGCACCGGCUAACUACGUA
rnacentral:rRNA from 1 species